rnacentral:rRNA from 1 species
UACGGGGGGAGCAAGCGUUGUUCGGAUUUACUGGGCGUAAAGGGCGCGUAGGCGGCCAGCACAAGUCAGUUGUGAAAUCUCCGAGCUUAACUCGGAACGGUCAACUGAUACUGUGCGGCUAGAGUGCGGAAGGGGCAACUGGAAUUCUUGGUGUAGCGGUGAAAUGCGUAGAUAUCGGGAGGAACACCAAUGGCGAAGGCAGCUCGCUGGGACGGUACUGACGCUGAGACGCGAAAGCGUGGGGAGCGAACAGG